UACGUAGGGUGCAAGCGUUGUCCGGAAUUAUUGGGCGUAAAGUGCUCGUAGGCGGUCUGUCGCGUCUGCUGUGAAAACCUGGGGCUUAACCCCGGGCCUGCAGUGGGUACGGGCAGACUAGAGUGUGGUAGGGGAGACUGGAAUUCCUGGUGUAGCGGUGAAAUGCGCAGAUAUCAGGAGGAACACCGGUGGCGAAGGCGGGUCUCUGGGCCAUAACUGACGCUGAGACGCGAAAGCGUGGGGAGCAAACAGG
rnacentral:rRNA from 1 species